rnacentral:rRNA from 1 species
CCUACGGGGGGCUGCAGUGGGGAAUAUUGGACAAUGGGCGAAAGCCUGAUCCAGCCAUGCCGCGUGUGUGAAGAAGGCCUUCGGGUUGUAAAGCACUUUCAGUGGGGAAGAAAGCCUUGGGGCUAAUACCCUCGAGGAAGGACAUCACCCACAGAAGAAGCACCGGCUAACUCCGUGCCAGCAGCCGCGGUAAUACGGAGGGUGCGAGCGUUAAUCGGAAUUACUGGGCGUAAAGCGCGCGUAGGCGGUCUGAUAAGCCGGUUGUGAAAGCCCCGGGCUCAACCUGGGAACGGCAUCCGGAACUGUCAGGCUAGAGUGCAGGAGAGGAGGGUAGAAUUCCCGGUGUAGCGGUGAAAUGCGUAGAGAUCGAGAGGAAUACCAGUGGCGAAGGCGGCCUUCUGGACUGACACUGACGCUGAGGUGCGAAAGCGUGGGUAGCAAACAGGAUUAGAUACCCUAGUAGUC